rnacentral:miRNA from 1 species
AGCUGUCCGAAAAUGUCUU